rnacentral:rRNA from 1 species
CAUGGCUCAGAUUGAACGCUGGCGGCAGGCCUAACACAUGCAAGUCGAGCGGUAGCACAAGAGAGCUUGCUCUCUGGGUGACGAGCGGCGGACGGGUGAGUAAUGUCUGGGAAACUGCCUGAUGGCGGGGGAUAACUAGUGGAAACGGUAGCUAAUACCGCAUAACGUCGCAAGACCAAAGUGGGGGCCCUUCGGGCCUCACGCCAUCAGAUGUGCCCAGGUGGGAUUAGCUGGUAGGUGAGGUAACGGCUCACCUAGGCGACGAUCCCUAGCUGGUCUGAGAGGAUGACCAGCCACACUGGAACUGAGACACGGUCCAGACUCCUACGGGAGGCAGCAGUGGGGAAUAUUGCACAAUGGGCGCAAGCCUGAUGCAGCCAUGCCGCGUGUGUGAAGAAGGCCUUCGGGUUGUAAAGCACUUUCAGCGAGGAGGAAGGGUAAUGUGU